rnacentral:lncRNA from 1 species
AGAGUAACAGUAAAAGUGAGAAAGUAGUUACCCUUUUUACUUGGGUACUAUUCUCUAUUUAUAGGGAAGUGAAAGUGGGAGCUUGGCACCAAGUUUGGAUGUGGGACUUUGUGCAAGAUGCUGUGGUGGUGACACGUGUCUUAGAGAUUAGGUUCGGCAGUUGAGAGCUUCGGAAGUCGAGAGCUUCGGCAGAUCUGGCACCUAGGAAGAGUGUCUUCCUUCGGCAGGAGAGAAGGCGUGUCUGCCUUAGUGCUAGUCAUUUUGAGGCUGAAUAUGCUCGGUUGAUUAUGGUGUAAACAGUAGUCCCCUAAGUUCGUGGUCAAGAAGUAACUUCUGGGUUGGGAACUUGUGAGAUUUUUGUGUAACCGUGACCGAGCAUUGUAGAUUCAGUGGGAGCCAUAGGGCAUUCCUUAGAAGUUGCGUCAACACUUGAAAGGUAUCGUAGAAGCUGUGUGAUCCUCUGGAACUGUUAGUAGCUGGGCACCUGGGCGUUCUGCAAGGAGAAGGUAGGUGACCCCUUGUGAGCCCACUAGGCCUUUGGCAAAGAGCAAGUGACGUUCUUCUACUUGGGCCUCAAGGGCUUGGCCAUGAUAAGGUUUGGCAAGGAUCUUAAAUGGAGAAAAAGGGGCAUGUGAGUACGUACUGGCUAUGGCAUGUCCCUUGCCAUUCGGCAAGGGUUGGUUGAAUAACAUUUUGGUGAGCCUUCCCCCCUUCUGCGGUGUCUACCGUUCGGCAAGACUUUCCCCCCUUUUUUAUUUUAUUUAUUUAUUUUUUUUAGGGUUCUUGGGCCUCUAUUUGUUUUGGCCAGGUACCUGCCAUUCGACAAGCGGGCCAAGGGCAUUUGAGGUUCAGUACGUGGGCUGCAAGGGGAGUUCGUCAAGGUAGCAAGUUUUGAGUCAAGUCUUUGUGGAAUGGGCUGGGCCUUUGUUGGAGCUAGGGUUUGGGAGAGGAGGUGUGAUGUCCUUUAAAAACCAAACCUGCUGUUCGGCAAGGUCAUGUCGAGAGUGGCAAGGUAAUUUCGGCAAGGGAAAAUACCAUUAAGCAUUCGGCAAGACUACC